AGACGUCUACAUUAGAUACCCCGGUAGUCCCAGCCGUAAACUAUGCGCGUUAGGUGUAUCGGUGACCACGAGUCACCGAGGUGCCGAAGGGAAACCGUGAAACGUGCCGCCUGGGAAGUACGGUCGCAAGGCUAGAAACUUAAAGGAAUUGGCGGGGAGCACCACAACGGGUGGAGCCUGCGGUUUAAUUAGACUCAACGCCGGGAAGCUCACCGGAUAAGACAGCGGAAUGAUUGCCGGGCUGAAGACUCUGCAUGACUAGCUG
rnacentral:rRNA from 1 species